CUGCUUCCCUGUUCUCUAGUCAGUGCUGCUGCUGGAAACCAGAGUCUUCUUUUGUUUUCCCUCUCACCUCUGGCUGCCUCUCUCUCCCCUCAAAGGUCAGAGCAGUGCCAAGGACAGAAGAGAGAGUAGAUCCAGCCUUGGCCCUGCUAGGCUGGGCAGCCUGGCAGGUAGAGUCAGCAGGGAUAGAGCUUGCUUUCCUGUUCACGAUCUUCAGCCAAGUUCAGGGAGGUCUGAAUACUGAGGCCUUCAUAGCCACUGCACCCCAGGUAGCUCAGGAGAACCUCCGAGCGCAGGAGUGCAAAGGCUGGCAUUCUUCAGGCUCUGAGGCUGUCCCUUCCGGUGGAGGUGAACUGCUUCUUAUUGAUGUGGACAAGACUGUGGAUGGAGACUGACAGGAUCCUGGCUUGGGGGCCUUCCGGCAGGGCUGGCUGCUGGGCUGGCAGGCUCUGGCGCUCCCCUUCCCCAGAACUGACUUUGUUCCUGGCAGCCAUGGUGGCUGCACUAACCACAUUCUGCCUCCACCUUUGCACUAAGAAAAGCAAAUAAGCAGACCACAGAACUGUUUGCAUUUGCCCCAGAUGCUCCCUGGCUGCGGGAAGAGGGUGACCACCUCUAAUCCUACCAGUGAUCCUGUGGCUGUCCCUGUAACUUCCUUUGGCAACACCAUGCUUUGAGAAGCUGUGGGGAAGGCUGGCCAGGGAGAGAGCCUCACCCCCCAAUUCUGCCAGCUGAUCCCCCAGAGGGCUGCAAGGCUCCUGAUUUACCCAGACCUCUGGAGUGGCUGAGGCUGGGCUCUGGGGUUGGAUGGUUCUCACCAAGAGGCCUGGGACAUCUGCUCUGUGCUAAGCUCCGAGGCAGACCACAGAGGAGAUAAUGACUAAUCGGACCUUCACAUACAUUGUACAUGCCUUUUCUGAACUGAAAAAGAGAAGAACAAACAAGAUAAAAAUAUUGAAAAAAAAGAAGAAUCAAAUGUGUAGAAAAUGCAAGGUCAUUAGAACUGCCCAGGGCUUCAUUCAGGCAAAGAUCUUGAGGGUCUGGCCAGGGACCUGCUGAGUAAAUCUAGCUCUGGUUCCCCUCCCACAGAUUCCCUGCGCCUCCUCCAACUGCAUAACCAAAUCUCCCCACCUCCCAACUUUCCUUGAGCUAUUCUGCUGUUUUCUUCACUUUAGUUUUCUCACUGUAACCC
rnacentral:lncRNA from 10 species